UUGCUAAGGGCCAUGUUCUAGUAACUUAGGAUGAACGCACGGCCUCAGGUAGAUGGUCUUCAGGGAACGGCGGUUGUGGAGGAGGGUGUGCUGGAAGUUUUGGUGAACUUGCAAAGGCCAAGGACAAGGUUCAAACCAAUGAAGGAUUGUUUCAGAGCGGUUGGACAUUUGACUCUCUCGUGACAGAAAAACGCCCUGAUCUCCCAGUGUCCAAGGACCUCAGACUUUUAAUCUAAGAAACAGGCUUAAAGAUGGCUCCAAAUUUAGGAACGUCCUGACUCUCCAUCUAUGAG